rnacentral:rRNA from 1 species
GACGAACGCUGGCGGCGUGCUUAACACAUGCAAGUCGAACGGAAAGGCCCUGCUUUUGUGGGGUGCUCGAGUGGCGAACGGGUGAGUAACACGUGAGUAACCUGCCCUUGACUUUGGGAUAACUUCAGGAAACUGGGGCUAAUACCGGAUAGGAGCUCCUGCUGCAUGGUGGGGGUUGGAAAGUUUCGGCGGUUGGGGAUGGACUCGCGGCUUAUCAGCUUGUUGGUGGGGUAGUGGCUCACCAAGGCUUUGACGGGUAGCCGGCCUGAGAGGGUGACCGGCCACAUUGGGACUGAGAUACGGCCCAGACUCCUACGGGAGGCAGCAGUGGGGAAUAUUGCACAAUGGGCGGAAGCCUGAUGCAGCAACGCCGCGUGCGGGAUGACGGCCUUCGGGUCGUAAACCGCUUUCGCCUGUGACGAAGCGUGAGUGACGGUAAUGGGUAAAGAAGCACCGGCUAACUACGUG